rnacentral:rRNA from 1 species
AGAGUUUGAUCCUGGCUCAGAACGUACGCUGGCGGCACGCCUAACACAUGCAAGUCGAACGAAGUAGCAAUACUUAGUGGCAGACGGGUGAGUAACAUGUAGGUAUCUGCCCUUUGGCCUGGAAUAACACGAGGAAACUUGUGCUAAUACCGGAUAAGUCUUUACGGAGAAAGCUUUAUGCACCAUUGGAUGAGCCUGCACUUGAUUAGUUUGUUGGUGGGGUAAUGGCCUACCAAGACUGUGAUCAAUAGCUGAUUUGAGAGGAUGAUCAGCCACAUUGGGACUGAGACACGGCCCAAACUCCUACGGGAGGCAGCAGUGGGGAAUCUUGCACAAUGGAGGAAACUCUGAUGCAGCGAUGCCGCGUGAGUGAAGAAGGCCCUUGGGUUGUAAAGCUCUUUCGUCGGGGAAGAAAAUGACUGUACCCGAAUAAGAAGGUCCGGCUAACUUCGUGCCAGCAGCCGCGGUAAUACGAAGGGACCUAGCGUAGUUCGGAAUUACUGGGCUUAAAGAGUUCGUAGGUGGUUGAAAAAGUUAGUGGUGAAAUCCCAGAGCUUAACUCUGGAACUGCCAUUAAAACUUUUCAGCUAGAGUAUGAUAGAGGAAAGCAGAAUUUCUAGUGUAGAGGUGAAAUUCGUAGAUAUUAGAAAGAAUACCAAUUGCGAAGGCAGCUUUCUGGAUCAUUACUGACACUGAGGAACGAAAGCAUGGGUAGCGAAGAGGAUUAGAUACCCUCGUAGUCCAUGCCGUAAACGAUGUGUGUUAGACGUUGGAAAUUUAUUUUCAGUGUCGCAGCGAAAGCGAUAAACACACCGCCUGGGGAGUACGACCGCAAGGUUAAAACUCAAAUGAAUUGACGGGGACCCGCACAAGUAGUGGAGCAUGUGGUUUAAUUCGAAGAUACGCGCAGAACCUUACCAACACUUGACAUGUUCGUCGCGACUCUAAGAGAUUAGAGUUUUCGGUUCGGCCGGACGAAACACAGGUGCUGCAUGGCUGUCGUCAGCUCGUGUCGUGAGAUGUUGGGUUAAGUCCCGCAACGAGCGCAACCCUCACUUUUAGUUGCCAUCAUUAAGUUGGGCACUCUGAAAGAACUGCCAGUGAUAAGCUGGAGGAAGGUGGGGAUGACGUCAAGUCCUCAUGGCCCUUACGUGUUGGGCUACACACGUGCUACAAUGGUAUCUACAACAGGAAGCAAGACUGCGAAGUUAAGCAAAUCCCUAAAAGAUACCUCAGUUCGGAUUGCACUCUGCAACUCGAGUGCAUGAAGCUGGAAUUACUAGUAAUCGUGGAUCAGCGUGCCACGGUGAAUGCGUUCCCGGGUCUUGUACACACCGCCCGUCACACCAUGGGAGUUGGUUCUACCUUAAGGCAAGGUUUUAAACCCUUGACCACGGUAUAGUCAGCGACUGGGGUGAAGUCGUAACAAGGUUACC